UUCACAUGGUCUGUGAUGUGAACAAUGCCCCCUGGAAUGUGUAAUGAGAUGAGCCUGCCCAGAUUAGACUUUAAAACCAGCUUGACACCUCUCAUAUACCCUCUUUGACCAGACUGAACUUCCACACCACCAUUUUCCCUGGGGCCAAACUAGACAGAUUGCUUUUUACAAGUGAGUCCCCUGACCUGACUUCUGACUUUGUGAGGAAGAAGAGAAUAGCAGGGAUGCUGGUUUUCACUCUAAUCAGCCUUGAAGAUAACUUGGGUUUGUUUUUUUUUAAUUUUUUUUUUACAAACCUGGGAUCUUUAAUAUAGAGUAGAAUCCAUCUCUAGAGGAGGAAAAGCUAAAGGUGAGAAGGGCGUGAGUAAGUAAUCACAUAGACCCAGUUUCCACUACUCGGGAGAUGAUCCAGCCUGUGGCGAAGGCCAGUGGUAUGGAAGGCAAAAUGGACAGAGAAAAAGCCUGAAUCCUUCAUGCCAUCAUCCAGUUAGUGACCAGACUAUGCUUGGAAGACACCCCACCACCCAUGUGCUCAUGCACAAUAUACCGUUACAGUCCACGGGAGCCCCGCGCCCCCCGUUACUGGCAAGGCCAGUCCUCGGUGAGAUGGACGUAGCCACAGGCGUCUCUGUCACUGUCAGGAUGGGCUCCAAGUGCAAGGAGUGUUUCCUGUCUAUUGACUCUAAGGAAGAAGAACCAUCCUCGGUCAAGGAGCACCGAGUGAGGCUCCCAGUGGAGAUGGUCACACACUGUUUCACACAGCGGGUGUGGGCACCCUUGUCUCGGCACCCUCUCGAGCCUCAGAAAACCCUCAAGACUGGAGUCUUCCUGGUGGCUCACCAGCUGCUUACUUCAUGGGGGCUUUGGUUGGAGAAUGAUCACUCCUCUUUUCUAAUCUCCUGGUCUAAAUCAGUGAUGUUCAGAAUUUUUAAAGGGGAAUUCUCCACUUUAUCAGGGUGUUAGAAGACCUGGUUCUGGACCUGCUGUCUGCUAACUUCCUGUAUGAUUCCGGGCUGUAUGAUUCCACUAAGAACCUGUCUCCUCUUCUAUGAGACAAAAGGGUUGGACUGAACGGUCUUCCAGCUGAAACAUCUCCUAGGCGACCCACUACAGUAGCAACUAACUACACGUGGCUGUUUAAAUUUAAAUUAGUUAAGUGAAAUUUAAAACAUAGUUUCUCAGUCUCACAUUUCAAGGGCUUUAAUAGCUGUAUGUGGCUGGUGAUUCCCAUAUUGGACAGCACAGAUAAAGCAUAUUUCCAUCAUUGUAGAAAGGCCAGUUGGACAGCCUGGGUCUAAUGCUCUCAUUUUAUCAUAACUAUAAAUAGAUAAUUUCAUUCCAAAGCCCAACAGUUGAAUAGCACUUCUGCGUUGUGCACUUCAAUACAUCAUAACAUUGUUUUUAAGAUUUUUUUAUUUAUCUGGGA
rnacentral:lncRNA from 1 species